rnacentral:rRNA from 1 species
GACGAACGCUGGCGGCGUGCCUAAUACAUGCAAGUCGAACGCAGUGGGGACGGGUGAGUAACACGUGGGUAACCUCCCAUCAGAGGGGAUAACACUUGGAAACAGGUGCUAAACCGAUACUGAUGGAUGGACCCGCGGUGCAUUAGCUAGUUGGUGAGGUAACGGCUCACCAAGGCCACGAUGCAUAGCCGGCCGGAGGGGGUGAACGGCCCAUCUGGGACUGAGACACGGCCCAGACUCCAACGGUAGCCGGAGGUAGGGAAUCUUCGGAAAUGGACGAAAGUCUGACCGAGAAACGCGGCGUGAGUGAAGAAGGUUUUCGGAUCGUAAAACUCUUUUGUUAGAGAAGCGGUAUCUAACCAGAAAGCCACGGCUAACUACGUGCCAGCAGCCGCGGUAAUAC